AGUGAACGCUGGCGGUAGGCCUAACACAUGCAAGUCGAACGGCAGCACAGUAAGAGCUUGCUCUUACGGGUGGCGAGUGGCGGACGGGUGAGGAAUACAUCGGAAUCUACUUUUUCGUGGGGGAUAACGUAGGGAAACUUACGCUAAUACCGCAUACUACCUACGGGUGAAAGCAGGGGAUCUUCGGACCUUGCGCGAUUGAAUUAGCCGAUGUCGGAUUAGCUAGUUGGCGGGGUAAAGGCCCACCAAGGCGACGAUCCGUAGCUGGUCUGAGAGGAUGAUCAGCCACACUGGAACUGAGACACGGUCCAGACUCCUACGGGAGGCAGCAGUGGGGAAUAUUGGACAAUGGGCGAAAGCCUGAUCCAGCCAUACCGCGUGGGUGAAGAAGGCCUUCGGGUUGUAAAGCCCUUUUGUUGGGAAAGAAAAGCAGCAGGUUAAUACCCCGCUGUUCUGACGGUACCCAAAGAAUAAGCACCGGCUAACUUCGUG
rnacentral:rRNA from 1 species